rnacentral:lncRNA from 1 species
CCAGGUGGGUUGGGCCGGCCCACCCUGCCAGGGGCCGGGAGGUAGGUGGCCAGCUGGAUGCACUUAGGACUUCGCGGGGGACCGAGGUACACGAUGUCUCCCCACGUGUCCCCGCCCCGCCCGCCCCCGGCUAUCGGCACCGCGUGCCUGGGCUUGCAUGACGCACCUCAAGGCAGUGGGAUUGGGACAGGGGCUAUUUUUGGUGGUGCAGAUAAUGGGUUUCUGCACAGGAACGUGUUCCGGGAACGGAAGCCGUGCUGGGUGGAGGAGCACCUUCAGGGUUUUAAAGCACUUGGACUUGGCUUCAGCUGUGGACUUGCGUGGAGGCACAGAACGACGGGCACAGGAGCAGGCGGAGCUGGAACUGGUUUCUGGACUCUUCUCCCUGGAUGCUGUUCCCUAAAAACUCAGCCGGGAGGCGCGCUGCAGGGCGACAGUGCAGAGAGCUGUCUUGUCUGAUUGGGGGUGUACAGGCGGGGCUCUGAGAGGGAGGCCCAGCCUCAAACCGUCCUUUCCUUGGAGAGGACACCCUGGGGUGUCCUAAACACAGGGACACAGGCCUCUCUGCAUCUCCCAGGUCACUGCUUUCCGUACCGAAUGAAUGACUUGCUGUGACCUAGAGUCUAGCCCCAGUGCUUCUGUUGAGGGCUCCUUCCUUUGCCUGUUCUCCCUUUAGUCCGCCCAGGCUCCCUCCCUUGCCUCUGGCUCUGCAGUGGGCCUCGGCCGCCGGUUCCGUGGGCCGCCACUGGGUGGCGCAGCUGCCCGCGCGUGCUGAGGGGCCGCGGAGCGGUGCAGCCAGCCUGGCCUCCCAGACCUCCAGCCUGCAGCAGCCCUGCCGCCUUCUGUCAGCCUAGGCUCCGGGCUCCUGGGGCUGAGGAGGUCGGGAUCGUGUCGGCAAAGAGCAGGGUCUCCAAGCUCUGCCAGGGCAGUGGCUCUUUCCCCCAGGAAGUCCUCUCUGGGGUGCAGUGAACUGGACAACUGCCUUCGAAGAGAAGGGUCUGUGCACACAGAUGGAGUGACUGGGGUGGGGGUGGGGGCGUCUUCAUGGGAACACACCCUGAGCCCUUCUCGGCGCCAGGCAUUUUACAACUGUGAACUCCUUACAUUCUCACAACCCUACAGGCUCUUUUGACAGUGGAGGACACUGGCACAGGUUGUCAGCUAGUCAGUGGCGGGACCUGGGUUCUAACCCCGGCAUUCUGAUGGCCCCCAGCCUCCUCUCAGGGAGGAGGCGGGCAGACCUGGCCGGGGACUGUGCCUGUAGUCAUGACUUUGAUGCCCCUCGGAUGGAGGCUUCAUUCACUCGGUUUUCCAACAGAUGUUGAUGCAGGGCUUCCUGCUGGCCAGGCAGCGCAUGUGGCCCUUGCUGUAUGCUCCACGACUCCAGCCACAGUCCUUGCCCUGUGGAACUGGUGGGGGAGACAGAGAUGAACCAAAAAACAAAAACCAACAAAUAACAAAACAAC